UACGUAGGGUGCGAGCGUUAAUCGGAAUUACUGGGCGUAAAGCGUGCGCAGGCGGUUUUGUAAGCCAGAUGUGAAAGCCCCGGGCUUAACCUGGGAAUGGCAUUUGGGACUGCAAGGCUGGAGUGUGGCAGAGGAGACUGGAAUUCCUGGUGUAGCAGUGAAAUGCGUAGAUAUCAGGAGGAAUACCGAUGGCGAAGGAAGGUCUCUGGGCUGACACUGACGCUCAUGCACGAAAGCGUGGGGAGCAAACAGG
rnacentral:rRNA from 1 species